AGCAGCCGCGGUAAUUCCAGCUCCAAUAGCGUAUAUUAAAGUUGUUGCAGUUAAAAAGCUCGUAGUUGAAUUUUGGGUCUGGCCGGGCGGUCCGCCUUCUGGGUGAGCACUGUUCCGAUGUCGGGCCUAUCCUUCUGGUGAAUCGGCAUGCCCUUUACUGGAUGUGUCGGGGAACCAGGACCAUUACCUUGAAAAAAUUAGAGUGUUCAAAGCAGGCGCAUGCUCGAAUACAUUAGCAUGGAAUAAUGAAAUAGGACGCGUGGUGCUAUUUUGUUGGUUUCUAGAACCGCCGUAAUGAUUAAUAGGGAUAGUUGGGGGCAUUAGUAUUCAAUUGUCAGAGGUGAAAUUCUUGGAUUUAUUGAAGACUAACUUCUGCGAAAGCAUUUGCCAAGGAUGUUUUCAUUAAUCAAGAACGAAAGUUAGGGGAUCGAAGACGAUCAGAUACCGUCGUAGUCUUAACCAUAAACUAUGCCGACUAGGAAUCGGGCGAUGUUAUUUUCACGACUCGCCCGGCGCCUUAUG
rnacentral:rRNA from 1 species